rnacentral:rRNA from 1 species
AUUGAACGCUGGCGGCAGGCCUAACACAUGCAAGUCGAACGGUAACAGGAAACAGCUUGCUGUUUCGCUGACGAGUGGCGGACGGGUGAGUAAUGUCUGGGAAACUGCCUGAUGGAGGGGGAUAACUACUGGAAACGGUAGCUAAUACCGCAUAACGUCGCAAGACCAAAGAGGGGGACCCUCGGGCCUCUUGCCAUCGGAUGUGCCCAGAUGGGAUUAGCUUGUUGGUGGGGUAACGGCUCACCAAGGCGACGAUCCCUAGCUGGUCUGAGAGGAUGACCAGCCACACUGGAACUGAGACACGGUCCAGACUCCUACGGGAGGCAGCAGUGGGGAAUAUUGCACAAUGGGCGCAAGCCUGAUGCAGCCACGCCGCGUGUAUGAAGAAGGCCUUCGGGUUGUAAAGUACUUUCAGCGGGGAGGAAGGGAGUAAAGUUAAUACCUUUGCUCAUUGACGUUACCCGCAGAAGAAGCACCGGCUAACUCCGU